rnacentral:rRNA from 1 species
UACGUAGGUGGCAAGCGUUGUCCGGAUUUACUGGGUGUAAAGGGCGUGCAGCCGGGCUGACAAGUCAGAUGUGAAAUCCCGCGGCUCAACCGCGGAACUGCAUUUGAAACUGUCAGUCUUGAGUACCGGAGAGGACAUCGGAAUUCCUUGUAUAGCGGUGAAAUGCGUAGAUAUAAGGAAGAACACCAGUGGCGAAGGCGGAUGACUGGACGGCAACUGACGGUGAGGCGCGAAAGCGUGGGGAGCAAACAGG